AUGACUAUCCCGGUAAAUAUGUAACAAGUGCAAUUGAGAGAUAUCUGGAAUGAGAUUUUACGUCUUUAGUGAUAUCAUGAUAGCCAUUGCUGUGUUCAACAUGACAUUGUUUCUUGGGUUUUUGAAUGCUGAAGGGGCAUAGUAGGAUAAAGGCCUUCUUCUGAACAUUGGAAAUUUAGAAGUUAUGGAAUAAAGGAAAGAGUAUUGUUGAACUGGUUUGCUCUUGUACUUGCACGCUCUAGACGUUUGACAUGAUGUAAUGGCUAAGGGUUAUAGCUGAAACGGCGCCACGGCAGAACAGCCCCAAGUCGAAACGGCCCCAAAUGUUUUGGCUGAAAUGGCCCCAUGACUAAACGGACCCAAGUUAAAACGGCCCCAUAUUUGCCAAAAUGGCCCCAAAAUAAUCUGUUUUAUUUCAAUGUGUGUCCUUAGUCAUAAAUGAUAUAUCAAAAUGCAUAUUUUUCAAUUAGUUAGUAAAUUAAUUAACUUUGACAUUUUCAUCAUGUUUUUCUUCUGUUUAAAUGGCCAUGAGGCCAAUAAUACAUGUGGAAGAUAUGAAUCAAACGAACUGAAUAUUGUACAGAUCGUCUAACAAUAUUCACUAGAAUUUAAGUUUGACAAAUAAAACAUUAGAUUUCAGAAUCAGAAUUCAAAUUGUUAAAAACACAUCCAUACCAUGAAGUCACACAUACAGUCAUUAAAACAACAUUGAAGUAGCAGUUAAAGUACCCUUUAAAAUCUGCUUUUAGUGAGCCUGUGACUAAGGAUGAUUUUUGUAACUGAUGUUGUGUAAUGCCAACUACACCUAAGAAUAUUUUAGCUUGGGUCAAAUUUGUAAAAGGAUUGGAACAACAUCCUUUUCAACAUGUCGUCUGUUCAUUAUAAGUCAAAAGAUGCAAGUGUCUAGUUCUCCUUUGUAUGAAAAAAACAUAAGAUAACUGCCAAAAGAUUUCUAAAUGUAUCACUCAGCUCUUGUGCAGAUCCAAAAGGGCCCUUAUCCUACUGUGUCAGAUAUAAUGUGUCCUGUAUAAUAUAGAGGUGUUGAAGUAUAUAAUGAACAAACGUAUGGGAGGAUGCAGAUUGCAGAUACUUCAGUCACUGUUCUCACUUCAAAUAAGUGGUUAAGUACCUUCAAUAUCUGUACAUGCUUUGUAUACAUUUGUAUAUGUACCAGAACAAUGUAAAGGAAAGAAAAGAAAUAAUUUUGUAACAUUAUUUGUUAUGAUAUCUUAUUAAUAGUAUUAUUUUCAUCACUUGAACUGUGAUGUAGGAUUUGAUAAUAGUUUCUUACCUUUGCAACUUGUGAAAAUAUUGUUUUUGAAAUUUCACUUGAUGAUCAUAUGACUAAAGGCAUGAAAGGUCAUAUACAUCAUAUGACUAAAGGCAUGAAGUCUCUAUGUCUUUCAUUUUCCAGACAUGACAGUGACUCACGUAAUGCUGAUACGAAAAAGGUAUAUUUGGGCUGAGGAUGUGCAAUAAUCAUUAACAUUUCUCCAUGUCUUCUUGUCUGUCAGUCAUUGAGUGAUGUAAGAACAUAGCACAUCUUGUUUGCAAUUUAUGUGAAAAAAUGGGUCCAGAAACGGAAAGACAAUGUUUGUGUUACCUAGACUACAAGCCCAAGUGAGUUUAUGUGUGACCUUGUCCACUGACCAUCGUUUUCUGCCAAUAUACACCCUUCAACUGCAUUCAGUGAAGCUGAAUAUUAAAACUGAUUGUGACUCUUUGCUACAAUCACUGUUCACAGCGACUUUUAGAGGAAACAGAAGAUAAUUCCAAUGUAAAACAUACAUUAUUUAUUUAUAGUGAGUAUUUGUUAUAGAUUUCUUGAUAAUAUCGUAGUGAAAAAAUGAUCACUGAUGGAACCCUGAGAAUAUUAGUAUUUUACGUUGGUAAGUGGAUACCUGUGACGGACAUGAUAUAGACCUGAGCCUUGUUUCACAAAGCGAUCACAGCGCUAUGACUAUGGUAUUUCCUAUACUUUAACAAAGAGUUACGACAAUCAUAGCGCUAAGAUAGCUUUGUGAAAUGCAGAUCUGAUCAUUUACACAGUGACCUUACAGUGGUGGGUAUCACACACCCAGCUUAGGUCUGAGCUUGAGGGGCAGUUGGGUAGCCUAAUGGUUAAAGCAUUCGCUUGUAACACAAAGACCAGGGUUCGAUUCCCCACAUGGGUACAAUGUGUGAAGCCCAUUCUGGUAUCCUCGCCAUGAUAUUGCUGGAAUAUUGCCAAAAGCGACCUAAAACAAAAUUCACUCACUAAGCUUGAGUGCUGGGUCUGCUUUUGCAAUAUGAAGUGUAGAUAUUGAUGCUGAGAGCGACACGGUGAGCUACAGUACCAGGCUAGAGAAGUUAGUGGCAGGUGCAUCGAGAGUGCCUAGCCAUUCAUCGAGCUGUUGAUAUUGCAUGACAUUAUAUAUCAGCAUACCCUCCAUUUGUUUCAUAUUUGUGCCAUAUUGUAGUUUUGAAGAAUUUUCAUGAUUUUUGUAUACCAUGUCAAAUUUUGUAUCAUUUUGUAUACUCAAUGUUACCGGUACAUACUCACCAUACCACCUCAAUAUUCCCACCUCCUUGAUUAAGGUAAAGUGUCAGGGGACCCAAGAACCUCUGUAUAUCAUGCCCCUUGUAAUACUGAGGUAGGGAUAUGUCAGGGGACCCAAGAACCUGUGUAUAUCAUGCCCCUUGUAAUACUGAGGUAGGGAUAUGUCAGAGGACCCAAGAACCUGUGUAUAUCAUGCCCCUUGUAAUACUGGGGUAGGGAUAUGUCAGAGGACCCAAGAUCCUGUGUAUAUCGUGCCCCUUGUAAUACUGAGGUAGGGAUAUGUCAGGGGACCCAAGAACCUGUGUAUAUCAUGCCCCUUGUAAUACUGAGGGAGGGAUAUGUCAGAGGACCCAAGAACCUGUGUAUAUCAUGCCCCUUGUAAUACUGAGGGAGGGAUAAGUCAGGGGACCCAAGAACCUGUGUAUAUCGUGCCC